UGCGGGCAGGGUUGAGAA
rnacentral:misc_RNA from 1 species